rnacentral:pre_miRNA from 1 species
AAUUAUUAUAUUCACUUUAUAAAUACUUCCUCUGAUCACUGUUAUAAACGAAAAACAACUUUUUAAAUUGAUAUAUUUGGUCUAUGAUAUAUAGUGAUCGAAGGGAGUAUUUAAUAUACCAAUC